rnacentral:rRNA from 1 species
UACGGAGGGGGCGAGCGUUGUCCGGAUUUAUUGGGCGUAAAGCGAGCGCAGGUGGUUUAAUAAGUCUGAUGUAAAAGGCAGUGGCUCAACCAUUGUGUGCAUUGGAAACUGUUAGACUUGAGUGCAGUAGAGGAGAGUGGAAUUCCAUGUGUAGCGGUGAAAUGCGUAGAUAUAUGGAGGAACACCGGUGGCGAAAGCGGCUCUCUGGACUGUAACUGACACUGAGGCUCGAAAGCGUGGGUAGCAAACAGG